CUUGAGUUUGAUCAUGGCUCAGGACGAACGCUGGCGGCGUGCCUAACACCUGCAAGUCGAGCGGAGUUAAUGGGGAGCUUGCUUCCUAUUAACUUAGCGGCGGACGGGUGAGUAACGCGUGAGUAACCUGCCUCUCAGUGUGGAAUAACGUUCCGAAAGGAACGCUAAUACCGCAUAAAGUAUAGCUGCGGCAUCGCAGCUAUACCAAAGAUUUAUCGCUGAGAGAUGGACUCGCGUCUGAUUAGCUAGUUGGUAGGGUAACGGCCUACCAAGGCGACGAUCAGUAGCCGAACUGAGAGGUUGAUCGGCCACAUUGGGACUGAGACACGGCCCAGACUCCUACGGGAGGCAGCAGUGGGGGAUAUUGCGCAAUGGGGGAAACCCUGACGCAUUUUUUUCGCGUGAAGGAUGAAGGUCUUCGGAUCGUAAACUUCUGUCUUCAGGGACGAUAAUGACGGUACCUGAGGAGGAAGCCACGGCUAACUACGUGCCAGCAGCCGCGGUAA
rnacentral:rRNA from 1 species